GCUCGGCAGGCAGGACUGGGCCCCGGGGCGGUGCGCUGGGCUGCACCUCCCUCCCCGCGCCCUGUCCUCUCCCGCCCUACAGGCCCUAGCAGGGCAGGCGGGAGUCCGUAGUUCGUGGUCCUUCGCCGGUGUCCCCGGAGCCCAGCGGCUGUGGAUGGCAGAAGCCCAGAGUGGGACUGGUCAGCUGCAGGAGCAGAAGAAAGGUCUUCUGAUAGCCGUCAGCGCCUCCGUUGAUAAAAUCAUCUCGCAUUUCGGGGCCGCCCGGAACUUGGUGCAGAAGGUGAAGGUGGCUGGGGGGAGGCUGUUGGGAUGAGGAGAGUAAUGGAGCUCCGCGGGGGGUGCGGGAAUGGUUGGCGGGAGGUGGCUGGAGGGAUCUCUGGAGCCAUCGGCAUCGCGCCACCUCCAGGCCCAGUUGGGUGAUAGCCGGCUGAGCCCGGAUGUGGGGCACCUGGUGCUGACCACCCUCUGCCCGGCCCUCCACGCCCUGGUGGCGGACGGGCUGAAGCCUUUCCGGAAGGACCUCAUCACCGGGCAGCGCAGGAGCAGCCCCUGGAGCGUGGUGGAGGCGUCGGUGAAGCCAGGUGAGCCAGGAGGGCGUGGGACCCGGCAGUGCGCAGGGCAGGGCCGGGCUUGGCUGACUGCACCCCACGUUCUCAGGCUCCAGCACCCGCUCCCUUGGAACCCUGUAUAGCCAGGUCAGCCGUCUAGCCCCGCUGAGCAGCAGCCGUAGCCGCUUCCAUGCCUUUAUCCUGGGCCUCCUCAACACCAAGCAGUUGGAGCUGUGGUUUUCCAGUCUCCAGGAAGAUGCAGGUCAGAGGUUCAGAUGGUAGAGGAUGGGGCUGAUGGGCUGGGAGGAUGGGAAGGAAAGAGUUCUGCUGGUUCCCACUGCUGCCAGAAUGCCAUUAAUCCAGAUCUCCGAUCUUAUUACUCUUCUAAUUAAAACUUUCUAAGGAGGCCCAUCGCCCAUAGGAUGAAAGACCCAAAGCCUUGGCUGUCUGGCCUCUGCCCUCUUCCCCUGCCUUGGAGGGUCUUGCCAACAGUCUUCCCGCCUGGCCCUUCCUGCUCCAGGGCCCUGCUUAUGCUGUUCCUCUACCUUCUGCCCCUCCUGCUUCCUCAUGAACUAUCAUUCAUCCUUUGAGUCCUUCCCCAGUGAGGCCCUACCUCUACCCUCGGACUAGGCCAACCCCCACGCCUCAUUUUGUAUGUGCUUCUAUGGCUCUCCUGUCCUCCUCCUCUGUAGCCUUUGCACUGUCACUGUUACCUGUCACCACUUGCUGUGUGUGUCUUCCUAUUUGGGCUAGGUUCCAUGCAGGCGGGGAUGUCAGUCCUAUAAGCCCACCACAUCCUUCCUCCUCUCUGCCCCAGUGCCCAGCAGAGUGAGGCCUGGGAAGAUGUGUGCUGACCGGUGGGCUGCUCUGGGGGGUCUUCUGGGACUAGGUCCAGGGCAGGAGCUGAUGUUGGCCUGUUCUUUUCCAGGCCUGCUCUCCCUCCUGUACCUGCCAACAGGAUUUUUCUCCCUGGCCCGCGGUGGCUGUCCCUCCCUGUCCACAGAGCUGCUGCUCCUGCUGCAGCCAUUGUCGGUGCUCACUUUCCACCUGGACCUGCUCUUUGAGCACCACCACCACCUGCCCCUGGGCCCACCUCAGGCCCCUGCCCCUCCAGGCCCACCUCCAGCUCUGCAGCAGACUAUGCAAGCCAUGCUGCACUUUGGGGGCCGGCUGGCCCAGAGCCUUCGGGGGACUUCCAAGGAAGCUGCUUCAGACCCCUCUGACUCUCCAAACCUUCCCACACCAGGGAGCUGGUGGGAGCAGUUGACCCAGGCCUCCCGGGUCUAUGCCUCUGGGGGCACUGGGGGCUUUCCUCUUUCCCGAUGGGCACCGGGGCGUCAUGGGACUGCAGCUGAAGAAGGUGCACAGGAGAGACCCCUGCCCACAGAUGAGAUGGCACCAGGCAGGGGCCUCUGGUUGGGAAGACUAUUUGGAGUGCCUGGGGGCCCCGCAGAAAAUGAGAAUGGAGCCCUAAAGUCCAGGAGACCAUCUAGCUGGCUGCCCCCGACAGUGAGUGUGUUGGCUCUUGUGAAGCGGGGGGCACCUCCCGAGAUGCCUUCUCCUCAGGAGCUUGAGGCCUCAGCACCCAGGAUGGUGCAAACCCAUAGGGCAGUGCGGACUCUCUGUGAUCACACUGCUGCAAGACCUGACCAGUUGAGCUUCCGGCGUGGGGAAGUGCUGCGUGUCAUCACCACAGUGGAUGAGGACUGGCUCCGCUGUGGGCGGGAUGGCAUGGAGGGUCUGGUGCCUGUGGGGUAUACCUCCCUUGUUCUGUAGCCCUGGGACCCUUUCCUGCGUAUGUGUCUCCUUCCUGUCACCUGGGAAUGGAAUGGCCAGUGAACACCAUCCCAGAAGCAUUUUCCCUCUGCAAAAUGACAUUUCUUCCCAUGUCUGUUUCUGCUAAUAUUUAAAAUAAACUUUCCUUCUUCCCUCCU
rnacentral:sRNA from 1 species